CAAUGAGUAGCAUCUAUAUUUUUCUUUCACAUUGAUGAAAAUUCAUGCAUUCUGUUUCUUUGUCAUAUGUGCUAUUUAAUCUGGUUGAUCCUACCAGUAGUCAUACGCUCUUCUCAAAGAUUAAACCAUGCAUGUGUAAGGGUAAAUGAUAUUAUAGUAGAACUGCGAAUGGCUCAUUAUAUCAGUUAUAGUUUAUUUGAUGAAAAUUACUAGUUGGAUAACCGUAGUAAUUCUAGAGCUAAUACAUGAGUAAAUCCUUGUCAAAGAGGUGUGUUUAUUAGUAUUAACCAUACGUUGGUGAGUGAUAAUAAUGGUUCAUAUCGCAUGCUUAAGUAGCGAUGGAUCAUUUAAGUUUUUGCCCUAUCAGCUUUGGAUGGUAGUGUAUUGGACUACCAUGGCAGUAACGGGUAACGAAGAAUUUGGGUUCGAUUUCGGAGAGGGAGCCUGAGAGAUGGCUACCACAUCCAAGGAAGGCAGCAGGCGCGUAAAUUACCCAAUCCUGACAUAGGGAGGUAGUGACAAUAAAUCACAAUGCGGAACAUUUGUUUUGCAAUUGUAAUGAGAAAAACGUAAAAGCUUUAUCGAUAAACAAUUGGAGGGCAAGUCUGGUGCCAGCAGCCGCGGUAAUCCAGUUCAAAAGACAAU
rnacentral:rRNA from 1 species